UGAGGAAUAUUGGUCAAUGGGCGGGAGCCUGAACCAGCCAAGCCGCGUGAGGGAGGAAGGCCCUAUGGGUCGUAAACCUCUUUUGUCGAGGGAACAAAAGCGAGUAUGUAUACUAGUCUGAGUGUACCUGAAGAAAAAGCAUCGGCUAACUCCGUGCCAGCAGCCGCGGUAAUACGGAGGAUGCGAGCGUUAUCCGGAUUUAUUGGGUUUAAAGGGUGCGUAGGCGGCGGUGCAAGUCAGCGGUAAAAGCCCGGGGCUCAACCCCGGCGAGCCGUUGAAACUGCAGUGCUAGAGAAGGCGAGAGGUACGCGGAAUGCGCAGUGUAGCGGUGAAAUGCUUAGAUAUUGCGCAGAACUCCGAUUGCGAAGGCAGCGUACUGGCGCCUGAUUGACGCUGAGGCACGAAAGCGUGGGGAUCGAACAGGAUUAGAUACC
rnacentral:rRNA from 1 species